rnacentral:rRNA from 1 species
UACGGAGGGGGCGAGCGUUAUUCGGAAUUAUUGGGCGUAAAGAGCGUGUAGGCGGCCAGACAGGUCCGUUGUGAAAACUAGAGGCUUAACCUCUAGACGUCGAUGGAAACCGUUUGGCUAGAGUCCGGAAGAGGAGAAUGGAAUUCCUGGUGUAGCGGUGAAAUGCGCAGAUAUCAGGAAGAACACCCGUGGCUAAGGCGGUUCUCUAGUACGGUACUGACGCUGAGACGCGAAAGCGUGGGGAGCGAACAGG